AAGUUGAGUGUCUUAGUUGCUUCGUCACAAACAACUUAGGAACCAAAUUCCACUGCUCCAAGAGGUGGCAUGGAAGAGCUCUUGACAUCCCAAUCCUUUAGUUUUUAAGGGAUCAGUUGCUUACAACAAGCAGAAGAAAAGUCUCCAGAGAUACUAUACCCAACCAUUAGAGCCCAUAAAGUAGAGCAACACAAAGCACAACCAUCGAAACCCCACCGGUACCCACAUGCAGCAAGAACCACA
rnacentral:misc_RNA from 1 species